AUGCUUUCCUGGGAAGCACAUGUACUAAAAUUAGAAGGCUACAGAGAAGAAUAGUAUGGCCCUUGUGCAAUAUGAAGCACUCCAUAUUUUU
ensembl:snRNA U6 U6 spliceosomal RNA